rnacentral:rRNA from 1 species
CGAGCGGUCAGACAGUAAUAAAUACGAUGUGGUAAGGCGAAGCCAUGCGAAAGGGCCGGCAUAGAGGUAACGCCCCCGUAGCCGAAACUGCAUCGACUGUCGAGAGGGAUCCCAAGUAACUCGGGGCCCGAGAAAUCUCGAGUGAAUCUGGCGGGACCACCCGCUAAGCCUAAAUACUCUCUGGUGACCGAUAGCGGACUAGUACCGUGAGGGAAAGGUGAAAAGUACCCCGGGAGGGGAGUGAAAUAGUACCUGAACCCCGUGUGCCUACAAGCCGUAGGAGCGUCUUGAGAGCUUGUCUCUCUCCGUGACCUGCGUGCCUUUUGAAGAAUGAGCCUGCGAGUUAGCGAUGUGUGGCGAGGUUAACCCGUGAGGGGCAGCCGUAGCGAAAAGCGAGUCCGAACAGGGCGAAUGAGUCGCACGUCCUAGACCCGAAGCGGAGUGAUCU